UACGUAGGGCGCAAGCGUGUCCGGAUUCACUGGGUGUAAAGGGUGCGCAGGCGGGAAAGUAAGUUAGAGGUGAAAUCUCACAGCUCAACUGUGAAACUGCCUUUGAUACUGCUUUUCUUGAGUUAGGGAGAGGUUGAUGGAAUUCCAGGUGUAGCGGUGAAAUGCGUAGAUAUCAGAAAGAACACCAGUGGCGAAGGCGGUCAGCUGGUCCGGUACAGACACUAAAGCACGAAAGCAUGGGGAGCAAACAGG
rnacentral:rRNA from 1 species